CGCGCGGACACACACCCCCGCGGCUUCAGCAAGCCCCCCCAAAGGGAAUACAGACAGCCACCCAAGGCUCCGGGAUCCUCUCCCAAUCAGCUGAAUCUCUUCAAAAUGAAGAGGGAGAGUCGACCCACUCCAUUCCGUGACUAUCGCACACCCACUCCCGGGAGGCCAGAGGAAGGGCUGCAGUUGUGCAAAGCUCGCUUUCUGAGCACCUCUGGCGGCCAGGACAGAAAGCGGUUUCCGCACGAUCCUUCCCAGACAUGCAAACAAUAUUCCCUUAACCUAGCAACAAAGCUAGUGGCUCUUCCUGGUUAUAAACAUGCCAGCUGUACCUCCCGCCCCCCCCACCUUUAAGGGGCCGAGGAAGGAGAGAAAAAAUGGACAGUUUUCCCCCCUCUUUAAAUCGAAGACAGUCACCUUUUGCGGAGGCAUAAAAUGUAUGUCAUCUAAACUGACAUACACCGUCCAAUACAAUAAGCGGCCGAGAAGAUACUGCGCUACCUACAGCGCGUGUAUCGCCCUAGAAGACAACAGCCCCCUUGCACGAUCACACUGAGGACACGCUAUGCCGAAUGGAGCAGAAGUAGGAAGAAAGUUCUAGGCUCACCCUGGGAGCAAAAAUCUUGAGCAGAACCAGCAGAGCCAUUCGAGAAACAAAGAGGCUUGGCCCGCAUCCUAUUCCCAUUCGCGCCAAGUCCUCCGAGGGGAAUCCCAGUCUUGGGGGCAACUAACUGGGGCGCAACAAUCCCUACCUCUAUACAUCCUCCUAAGAAACAUUUCCACAAAUGGAGAAAAAGCAGCCCAGCAGAAGGACACUAACUAACCGUCAUGGUGGGAGCUGGAUCCAGCAGCAAAGCGCCUCCUUCCUUGUAUGUUUUAAAACCGGCCAAAUGAAGACAAGCCGAGCUCGCCCCCAGCAGCAGCAGCGAUGCCCAUUUCCUCCCCCGUUCGCCUCGCUCUCUCCCUCUUCGCUUGUCGUUCCAACCUCUUCUAUCCGCCCAGAACAAACUUUUUCUCUUGCUUUUUUCAAAACUUCCUGGGAGGGCCCUUUCCAGCCAAUGGAAAGCCAUCGAAUUGGAACUUUCGCGAGUCUCAAAUUGUAAACAGCCAAUGAAGAAGAACAUGGGGCGGAGUCUGGCUGCCAAAUGCAAAAAAAGGGUUGGGAGCGUAGCCAAUGGGGAGGUGGGGGGAAACUGGAAAGGGGAAAGAAAAAAGAGAGACCUUCAGGACAAGUGGGAGGGACUUCGGCAGAGAGGCGCCGGGGACUCGAGUCCCCUUUCCUUUCCAGAAUCCAGAGGGCGCGCGCCAGUGUAGUCGAUGUGUCAGCCCGUUGGGAUAGCGAGAGGAAGGAGCGGCUCCGUAGGCAGGUUGGACGGACAAACAGCGUAACCUACCUCUGCUAACUGGACAAACGGGCACCUUCUGAAGUGGGGGAUCUUUUAUGUAGCACUGGAAAACAACAGUUCCUAUUCAGCCCAGCAUACUCUCUUCAAUGACUGUUAGUAUCUCUUACUUUUGGGAUAUAUAAUGAACCCUUUUGGAACAGGAAACCAUUUUCUGAUACAUUCUGCCAUGUAAACUGCUCUGAGAAACGUGGUGUGUUUUUUUUAGUUGAAGCAUGAUAUAUAAAUAUUUUCUAAUAAUUUAUGCAA